UACCUAUUAGAAUACAGUCUUUCCCAAGC
rnacentral:piRNA from 1 species